CCUACGGGAGGCAGCAGUGGGGAAUAUUGGGCAAUGGGCGAAAGCCUGAACCAGCAACGCCGCGUGAAGGAAGAAGGUUUUCGGGUUGUAAACUUCUUUUGACAGGGAAGAGCAGAAGACGGUGCCUGUCGAAUAAGCCACGGCUAACUAAGUGACAGCAGCCGCGGUAAUAAGUAGGUGGCAAGCGUUGUCCGGCUUUACUGGGUGGAAAGGGCGUGUAGGCGGGCUGGCAAUGCAGUUGUGAAAUCCGGGGGCCCACACCCCGAACUGCAUUUGAAACUGUUGGUCUUGAGUAUCGGAGAGGCAGGCGGAAUUCCUAGUGUAGCGGUGAAAUGCGUAGAUAUUAGGAAGAACACCAGUGGCGAAGGCGGCCUGCUGGAUCACAACUGACGGUGAGGCGCGAAAGCGUGGGGAGCAAACAGGAUUAGAUACCCCAGUAGUC
rnacentral:rRNA from 1 species